CUGCCACCUGUAACCACCCAGAGAGAGAGAGAGAGAGAGACAGACAGACAGAGAGACAGGGAGGGGGUAGAGAAGUCACUGGAUCAAUGGUUGCCAAACAGACUGGGAAGAAUGUCCUUGUUGGGAGGGAGAAUCUCAGGAUUUCUACAAUAAACCUGGUCUAUCACAUUUAGGGUAGAAGAAUGUCCUCUCCUUAUUCACAGCAUACCUGCUGAGAGUCUUCAAGAGUUUGUGUUUGGAGAUGGGAGUGUGGACCCAUAGUAGAAGGCUUGUCUAGCAUGCAUGAAGCCCAUUCCCAGCAAAACACAUACAAACAUAUAGCCAUUCAUAUUCUGUCUGUCUCUCUCUCUGUUUCUCUCUCUCUCCCUCCCUCCUAGUCUUGUGGAGCUGGAACAGACUUCAAAGAGAGAAAAAGGGGCCUAGAGAAGGGGGCCAUUUGUUCAGUGUCACACAGCCCAUUGCUGAUCAGUUUCCUGAUUCUUAGACCUUUCUCCCAUAGCAUACAAUGUACCUAUUUACUACUGAGCUGGAAAGGAAGAAGGAUGGCUUAAUCACAGUCCUGCUUUCAAGGAACUUGGAGUCUGAAGAAGAGAAGCAGAGACACACCGAAAAUUACUGCAGGGAGGCACAUGGGUGAGGAGUUUCUUGGUGGCUUAGGGUGCUGAGAAGAUCAGGCAGGGUACCACAUGCAGCACCAUCUACAGAAUGUCAGGAGUGAUCCAGGCCACAGAAGACUGGUCAAGGAAAGGAUUUUGCAUGGCAGAGAUGUGGCAUAUGUAAAGCCACAGAGAUGAGCUCCAGCCCAGCAGUUAUCCAAGCUAGCCUCAACUUCAAAACCCUCCAGUCUCAGCCUUCUGUAUUUUAAAAAAAGAUACCUCUGGGGGCAGUAUGGACAACUGACUGACAAGGCAGGAGUGCAAGAAGCAAACAGGAGAGCGCAGCGAGAAGGUGAGUGCAGUAGGAUCCAAGAUGAAGGUAGUUAGAGAAGGAUAUGAGGAGGAGUGUGCUGCACUGGAAGGAGUGCUAGGAGGGUGACUGCACUGGAAGGAGUGCUAGGAGGGUGUGGAGAAUGCCUGCAUUCUGGACUUAAUGGCUGAGGUAAUGGUGGGAACUGGUGAGUCAGGGCAAAGGAAUGGCUGGUGUUCCAGGGAGGGGAGGCUAACCUUGUGGAUAAGAAUUGUGCCACACAGGCCACGCCGGCCUGCCUUUUUCAGGACAGUGAAGGCG